rnacentral:rRNA from 1 species
UAUUUAUAAUAAAUUAAUUUAUAUUUUUGUUAUUAAGUUUAUUUUGAAAAAAGUAUUUUAAAAAUUUAUUUUAGUUUUAGUAUUAUUUUUUUAAAAAAAUAGUGUAAUUUUUGGAUUGUAAAAUAAAAUAUUUAAAAAUUUAAAAUAAAAAUUUAUUUUUUGUUCCUUUUGUAUAAGGAUAAUUUAAAUAAAAGUUAAUAAUUUUAAUUUUCUCGAAAUAAAAAGAGAUAAGAUUUUAUUUUUUUUAGUAUUUCAUAAUUAUAUAAAAUAAAAUUUUUGAAAUUAUAUGUUAUUCAUUUUUUUAUAUCUAGUUUUUUAAUAAAUAAAUUUAAUUUAUAAUUAUUUUGUAUAAAAUAAUUUAUUUAUAAAAUUAUUUUAUUUAAUAUAAUUAAAUAAUAAAAGAGAUAAAUUUUUUAUUAAAUUAAAAAUAAUGUUUUUAUAUUUUUAUUUAUUAUAUUUAAUUAAUAUUUUUUAUAAUUAUAAAAUUUUAAAAUUUCAAAAUAUUUAAAAAUAUUUUUAUUUAUUUUAAAUAUAUAUUAAAAUAUGAUUUUAAAUAAUUUAAAAUUAAAAAUUAUGAUUUAAUUAGUAUUAAUUUAUUUAAUUUUUUUUAAGAUUGGUAAUUAAUUUUUAAUAAUUUGGCAAUAUUAAUUUUCACUUGUUUAUCAAAAACAUGUCUUAAAGAAUAAUUAAUUUUAGGUUUAAUCUGUUCAAUGAUUAUAAUUAAAUAAUUGCAGUAUUUUAACUGUGCUAAGGUAGCAAAAUCAUUUGUUUUUUAAUUGAAAACUGGAAUGAAGGAUUGAAUGAAAAAUUAACUUUUUUAAAAUUACUUUAAGAAUUUAAUUUUAAAAUAAAAAAUUUUUAAUAAAAUUAAAAGACGAUAAGACCCUAUAAAAUUUUAUAUUUGAAAAAAUAAUUUUAUUAUAAAAAAUAAUUAUGAAAAAAAAAAUAUUUAAUUGGGGUGAUUUUAAAAUUUAAAAAACUUUUAUACAUAUAUAUAAUAAAAAUAAAAAUUUUUUUUAAAAAUAAUUUUAUUUAUUAUUAAAUUAAAUUACUUUAGGGAUAACAGCAUAAUGUUUUUAAAUAGUUCAUAUUGAUAAAAAUGAUUAUGACCUCGAUGUUGAAUUAAGUAAAAUAUAUACAGAAAAAGGUAUAUAAUUUAGUCUGUUCGACUAUUAAAUUCUUACAUGAUUUGAGUUCAAAUCGGCGUGAGCCAGAUUGGUUUCUAUCUUUAAUUAAUAAAAUAAAUUUUUGUACGAAAGGAUUAAUUUAUAAAUUUUUUUUUUUU